GAUGAACGCUAGCUACAGGCUUAACACAUGCAAGUCGAGGGGAAACGCCAUCGCAAGCUUGCUUUUGAUGGGCGUCGACCGGCGCACGGGUGAGUAACGCGUAUCCAACCUGCCCAUCACUUGGGAAUAACCUUGCGAAAGUAAGACUAAUACCCAAUGAUAUCCCACGAAGGCAUCGGAAUGGGAUUAAAGAUUUAUCGGUGAUGGAUGGGGAUGCGUCUGAUUAGCUUGUUGGCGGGGUAACGGCCCACCAAGGCAACGAUCAGUAGGGGUUCUGAGAGGAAGGGCCCCCACAUUGGAACUGAGACACGGUCCAAACUCCUACGGGAGGCAGCAGUGAGGAAUAUUGGUCAAUGGGCGAGAGCCUGAACCAGCCAAGUAGCGUGCAGGAAGACGGCCCUAUGGGUUGUAAACUGCUUUUAUAAGGGAAUAAAGUGGGUCACGUGUGACUUUUUGCAUGUACCUUAUGAAUAAGGACCGGCUAAUUCCGUG
rnacentral:rRNA from 1 species